CAGACGAGAACCGGGAAUACUGCCUCUGGCAAUAGAAGUAGGUAGGUUGGGAAUGUUCUAGAUGAAGAAGAGGGUGUAUGUCCACUGUUUCUGUUUUAACAACUAACACUGCGUUUCUAUUCCUUCGUCCCCAGCCGAUGACAUCAAGCCGUGUCCGCGCUGCGCGGCUUACAUCAUCAAGAUGAACGACGGCAGCUGCAACCACAUGACCUGCGCCGUGUGCGGCUGUGAGUUCUGCUGGCUCUGCAUGAAGGAGAUCUCUGACCUGCACUACCUGAGCCCGUCAGGUUGUACCUUCUGGGGCAGGAAGCCGUGGAGCAGGAAGAAGAAGAUCCUGUGGCAGCUGGGCACGCUGGUGGGCGCUCCGGUGGGCAUCGCUCUGAUCGCUGGCAUCGCCGUCCCUGCCAUGAUCAUAGGCAUCCCUGUGUACGUGGGGAGGAAGAUCUAUAACCGCUAUGAGGGGAAGGACAUCUCUCCCCACAGGAGGAACCUGGUGAUAGCAGGAGGAGUCACUCUGUCUGUCAUCAUGUCCCCUGUGGUGGCAGCCGUCUCUGUCGGUCAGUAUACUGUACUCUGUCUGUCAUCAUGUCCCCUGUCUGUCAUCAUGUCCCCUGCGGUCAGCAUACUGUACUCUGUCUGUCAUCAUGUCCCCUGGGGUCAGUAUACUGUCCCCUGUCUGUCAUCAUGUCCCCUGUGGUCAGUAUACUGUACUCUGUCUGUCAUCAUGUCCCCUGUGGUCAGUAUACUGUCUGUCAUCAUGUCCCCUGGGGUCAGUAUACUGUCUGUCUGUCAUCAUGUCCCCUGUGGUCAGUAUACUGUACUCUGUCUGUCAUCAUGUCCCCUGGGGUCAGUAUACUGUACUCUGUCUGUCAUCAUGUCCCCUGUGGUCAGUAUACUGUACUCUGCCUGUCAUCAUGUCCCCUGUGGUCAGUAUACUGUCUGUCAUCAUGUCCCCUGUGGUCAGUAUACUGUCCUCUUGUCUGUCAUCAUGUCCCCUGUGGUCAGUAUACUGUCUGUCAUCAUGUCCCCUGUGGUCAGUAUACUGUACUCUGUCUGUCAUCAUGUCCCCUGUGGUCAGUAUAAUGUCUGUCAUCAUGUCCCCUGGGGUCAGUAUACUGUCUGUCUGUCAUCAUGUCCCCUGUGGUCAGUAUACUGUACUCUGUCUGUCAUCAUGUCCCCUGGGGUCAGUAUACUGUACUCUGUCUGUCAUCAUGUCCCCUGUGGUCAGUAUACUGUACUCUGCCUGUCAUCAUGUCCCCUGUGGUCAGUAUACUGUACUCCGUCUGUCAUCAUGUCCCCUGUGGUCAGUAUACUGUCUGUCAUCAUGUCCCCUGGGGUCAGUAUACUGUACUCUGUCUGUCAUCAUGUCCCCUGUGGUCAGUAUACUGUACUCUGCCUGUCAUCAUGUCCCCUGUGGUCAGUAUACUGUCUGUCAUCAUGUCCUCUGGGGUCAGUAUACUGUCUGUCAUCAUGUCCCCUGUGGUCAGUAUACUGUACUCUGCCUGUCAUCAUGUCCCCUGUGGUCAGUAUACUGUACUCUGUCUGUCAUCAUGUCCCCUGUGGUCAGUAUACUGUACUCUGUCUGUCAUCAUGUCCCCUGUCUGUCAUCAUGUCCCCUGUGGUCAGUGUACUGUACUCUGUCUGUCAUCAUGUCCCCUGUGGUCAGUAUACUGUCCUCUUGUCUGUCAUCAUGUCCCCUGUGGUCAGUAUACUGUCUGUCAUCAUGUCCCCUGUGGUCAGUAUACUGUACUCUGCCUGUCAUCAUGUCCCCUGUGGUCAGUAUACUGUCCUCUUGUCUGUCAUCAUGUCCCCUGUGGUCAGUAUACUGUCUGUCAUCAUGUCCCCUGUGGUCAGUACUCUGUCUGUCAUCAUGUCCCCUGUGGUCAGUAUACUGUACUCUGUCUGUCAUCAUGUCCCCUGUCUGUCAUCAUGUCCCCUGUGGUCAGUAUACUGUCCUCUUGUCUGUCAUCAUGUCCCCUGUGGUCAGUAUACUGUCUGUCAUCAUGUCCCCUGUGGUCAGUACUCUGUCUGUCAUCAUGUCCCCUGUGGUCAGUAUACUGUACUCUGCCUGUCAUCAUGUCCCCUGUGGUCAGUAUACUGUACUCUGUCUGUCAUCAUGUCCCCUGUCUGUCAUCAUGUCCCCUGUGGUCAGUAUACUGUACUGUCUGUCAUCAUGUCCCCUGUGAUCAGUAUACUGUACUCUGUCUGUCAUCAUGUCCCCUGUGGUCAGUAUACUGUACUCUGUCUGUCAUGUCCCCUGUGGUCAGUAUACUGUACUCUGUCUGUCAUCAUGUCCCCUGUGGUCAGUAUACUGUACUCUGUCUGUCAUGUCCCCUGUGGUCAGUAUACUGUACUCUGUCUGUCAUCAUGUCCCCUGUGGUCAGUAUACUGUACUCUGUCUGUCAUCAUGUCCCCUGUGGUCAGUAUACUGUACUCUGCCUGUCAUCAUGUCCCCUGUGGUCAGUAUACUGUACUCUGCCUGUCAUCAUGUCCCCUGUGGUCAGUAUACUGUACUCUGUCUGUCAUCAUGUCCCCUGUGGUCAGUAUACUGUACUCUGUCUGUCAUCAUGUCCCCUGUGGUCAGUAUACUGUACUCUGCCUGUCAUCAUGUCCCCUGUGGUCAGUAUACUGUACUCUCUCUGUCAUCAUGUCCCCUGUGGUCAGUAUACUGUACUCUGUCUGUCAUCAUGUCCCCUGUGGUCAGUAUACUGUACUCUCUCUGUCAUCAUGUCCCCUGUGGUCAGUAUACUGUACUCUGUCUGUCAUCAUGUCCCCCCGGGGGGCCUGUCACCCCCCGGGGCCUGUAGACACAGUGGUCUCUGGUUGUUUAGAUGAGCUAGUAGUGACCGACUGCUCUUAGGAGACACAGUGGUCUCUGGUUGUGUAGAUGAGCUAGUAGUGACCGACUGCUCUUAGGAGACACAGUGGUCUCUGGUUGUUUAGAUGAGCUAGUAGUGACCGACUGCUCUUAGGAGACACAGUGGUCUCUGGUUGUUUUAGAUGAGCUAGUAGUGACCGACUGCUCUUAGGAGACACAGUGGUCUCUGGUUGUGUAGAUGAGCUAGUAGUGACCGACUGCUCUUAGGAGACACGGUGGUCUCUGGUUGUUUUAGAUGAGCUAGUAGUGACCGACUGCUCUUAGGAGACACAGUGGUCUCUGGUUGUUUUAGAUGAGCUAGU